rnacentral:rRNA from 1 species
AUGGCGUCCGUCCGGCGCCCGUGCGCGGUGGCGCUGCUCGCCUGCGCCGCCGCAUUCCUCGUGACGGUCGGUGCCCAGCCGAAGGACAACCCCAUUUUGUCGGACCCCAACGUGGUCCCCAUCUACAUGAGCCCCGGCGCGCAGCCCACCGUGGUGAGCUGCUACAACCAGAGCAGCCCGUCGCAGGCCCCAGAGUGCAUGAUUCCGGUGCGCCGGUGCCCCGCCGGCUGCCGCGACCUCUGCUACGUGCACUGCCCCAGCUGCAAGCUCGUCUGCAUGUGUGAACUGGCCGGCACGGAGUGCUACGACCCGCGCUUCGUGGGUGGCGACGGCAACAAGUUCCUCUUCCACGGCCGCAGGGACGCCGACUUCUGCCUGCUCUCCGACGCCAACCUGCACAUCAACGCGCACUUCAUCGGCAAGCUCAACGUGAAGGCGGCGCGUGACUUCACAUGGGUGCAGGCGCUCGGCGUCCGCUUCGGUGGCCACCGCCUCUACCUCGGCGUCAAGAGGACGGUCACCUGGGACAACGCCGUCGACCGCCUCGUCAUCACCUUCGACGGCGUGCCCGUCGAGCUGGACGCGGCGCCGGCCGCCAGCUGGAGCCCGGCCUCCGCGCCCGCGCUGUCCGUCUUCCGCAUCGGCGCGGCCAACGGCGUGGUGGUGCGCCUCGACGGCCGGUUCCGCAUCGUCGCCAACGCGGUGCCGGUGACUGAGGAGGACUCGAGGGUCCACGACUACGGCCUCACCGCCGACGACAGCCUCGCGCACCUCAACGUCGCAUUCAAGUUCAACUCCAUCAGCGCCGACGUGCACGGCGUGCUCGGCCAGACCUACCGCCCGGACUACGUCAGCGCCGGGGUUGACAUGGGCGCCAAGAUCCCGGUGAUGGGGGGUGCCGCAAAGUACCAGGUGUCGGACAUCUUCGGGACGGACUGCGAGGUGGCGCGCUUCGCCGGAGAGGACGUCGUCCGCGUCGGGGCGGUCGACAUGAUCGACGAGCCGGCCGACACCAUGUGCGGCAGCGGCAAGGGCAGCGCCGGGCUGGUCUGCAAGAAGUGA